rnacentral:tRNA from 1 species
GCGAAAGUGGCGGAACCGGCAGACGCGCUGGAUUUAGGAUCCAGUGGGGCAACCCGUGGGGGUUCGAAUCCCCCCUUUCGCACCA